rnacentral:rRNA from 1 species
AACGAACGCUGGCGGCAUGCCUAACACAUGCAAGUCGAACGAGACCUUCGGGUCUAGUGGCGCACGGGUGCGUAACGCGUGGGAACCUGCCUUUAGGUUCGGAAUAACUCAGAGAAAUUUGAGCUAAUACCGGAUGAUGUCUUCGGACCAAAGAUUUAUCGCCUUUAGAUGGGCCCGCGUUGGAUUAGCUAGUUGGUGGGGUAAAGGCCUACCAAGGCGACGAUCCAUAGCUGGUCUGAGAGGAUGAUCAGCCACACUGGGACUGAGACACGGCCCAGACUCCUACGGGAGGCAGCAGUGGGGAAUAUUGGACAAUGGGCGAAAGCCUGAUCCAGCAAUGCUGCGUGAGUGAUGAAGGCCUUAGGGUUGUAAAGCUCUUUUACCCGAGAUGAUAAUGACAGUAUCGGGAGAAUAAGCUCCGGCUAACUCCGUG